GACGAACGCUGGCGGCGUGCUUAACACAUGCAAGUCGUACGGUAAGGCCCUUUCGGGGGUCCACGAGUGGCGAACGGGUGAGUAACACGUGAGUAACCUGCCCACAACUUUGGGAUAACGCUAGGAAACUGGUGCUAAUACUGGAUAUGUGCUCCUGCUGCAUGGUGGGGGUUGGAAAGCUCCGGCGGUUGUGGAUGGACUCGCGGCCUAUCAGCUUGUUGGUGGGGUAGUGGCCUACCAAGGCGGCGACGGGUAGCCGGCCUGAGAGGGUGACCGGCCACAUUGGGACUGAGAUACGGCCCAGACUCCUACGGGAGGCAGCAGUGGGGAUUAUUGCACAAUGGGCGCAAGCCUGAUGCAGCAACGCCGCGUGCGGGAUGACGGCCUUCGGGUUGUAAACCGCUUUCAGCAGGGACGAAGCUUUUUGUGACGGUACCUGCAGAAGAAGCACCGGCUAACUACGUG
rnacentral:rRNA from 1 species